CGUGCCGCUAAGGGGCGGGCACCCGAGGAGAGGAGCGCAGCUGAGGGGACAAGCGUGUCACUGAGGGGAGGAGCGCAGCUGAGAGGAAAGCACCUGAGGAGAGAAGCACACCUGAGUGGGGAGUACACCUGAGAGGAGGGUUGUGUCGCUGAGGGGAGCACAGUUGAGGAGGGAGGAGCGUACCUGAGGGUGGAGCACACCUGAGCUGGCCUGGUUUGCUGAAGCUGACAGAGGCACUAGAGAUGACAUGAAGAAAGCAUCAGGAGGGCACAACCACAAGGCAAACCAUCCUUUUUGGAAGCAAGAUGUUAGAUCAGACAGUGGAAGAGCACACAGAAAUUCCACAUUCUGAUCUGGGAGCUGAACUUCCUCACUGCCCAGCAG